CAAUAGCGUAUAUUAAAGUUGUUGCAGUUAAAAAGCUCGUAGUUGGAUUUCUGUGAGAGCGCAUGUGUCGGCGUGAUGCUUGUGCACAAGCGCUCUUACAUCCUUCUGUUAACUGUUCUCGGCAUUCAUUUGUUGGUUCAGGGCUCAGAUAUUUUACCUUGAGAAAAUUAGAGUGUUUCAGGCAGGCUUAUGCACGGAAUACAUUAGCAUGGAAUAAUAGAAUAGGACUUGUGCGUUCUUCGGGGCGCCGGUCUCUGUUGUUGGUUUCGGGGACUACAGUAAUGAUUAAUAGGGAUAGUUGGGGGCAUUAGUAUUUAAUAGUCAGAGGUGAAAUUCUCGGAUUUGUUAAAGACUAACUUAUGCGAAAGCAUUUGCCAAGGAUGUUUUCAUUAAUCAAGAACGAAAGUUAGGGGAUCAAAGACGAUCAGAUACCAU
rnacentral:rRNA from 1 species